GUCGUGUCCUAUAUUAUAUAAGACGCCUGGUCAGUGGCGCGUUUAAAGGAGGAAUCUGGUGGAAGGGGGGGGGGGGUUGAGGCUGGGUAUGGGUGGCGAGGAGACGUUUUAUUAUCGUUAUCUAUUAUUUGUAUAAACGAUUUUUUUAUUUUUUUCUUAAUUCAAAUUACUGUACGUAUAUCACUCGUAUAAUCGGACGAAACCGAAAACUUGUUGGUACCU